rnacentral:rRNA from 1 species
AUGAACGCUAGCUACAGGCUUAACACAUGCAAGUCGAGGGGCAGCAUGGUCUUAGCUUGCUAAGGCCGAUGGCGACCGGCGCACGGGUGAGUAACACGUAUCCAACCUGCCGUCUACUCUUGGACAGCCUUCUGAAAGGAAGAUUAAUACAAGAUGGCAUCAUGAGUCCACAUGUUCACAUGAUUAAAGGUAUUCCGGUAGACGAUGGGGAUGCGUUCCAUUAGAUAGUAGGCGGGGUAACGGCCCACCUAGUCUUCGAUGGAUAGGGGUUCUGAGAGGAAGGUCCCCCACAUUGGAACUGAGACACGGUCCAAACUCCUACGGGAGGCAGCAGUGAGGAAUAUUGGUCAAUGGGCGAGAGCCUGAACCAGCCAAGUAGCGUGAAGGAUGACUGCCCUAUGGGUUGUAAACUUCUUUUAUAAAGGAAUAAAGUCGGGUAUGGAUACCCGUUUGCAUGUACUUUAUGAAUAAGGAUCGGCUAACUCCGUGCCAGCAGCCGCGGUAAUACGGAGGAUCCGAGCGUUAUCCGGAUUUAUUGGGUUUAAAGGGAGCGUAGAUGGAUGUUUAAGUCAGUUGUGAAAGUUUGCGGCUCAACCGUAAAAUUGCAGUUGAUACUGGAUAUCUUGAGUGCAGUUGAGGCAGGCGGAAUUCGUGGUGUAGCGGUGAAAUGCUUAGAUAUCACGAAGAACUCCGAUUGCGAAGGCAGCCUGCUAAGCUGCAACUGACAUUGAGGCUCGAAAGUGUGGGUAUCAAACAGGAUUAGAUACCCUGGUAGUCCACACGGUAAACGAUGAAUACUCGCUGUUUGCGAUAUACGGCAAGCGGCCAAGCGAAAGCGUUAAGUAUUCCACCUGGGGAGUACGCCGGCAACGGUGAAACUCAAAGGAAUUGACGGGGGCCCGCACAAGCGGAGGAACAUGUGGUUUAAUUCGAUGAUACGCGAGGAACCUUACCCGGGCUUAAAUUGCAGAUGAAUUACGGUGAAAGCCGUAAGCCGCAAGGCAUCUGUGAAGGUGCUGCAUGGUUGUCGUCAGCUCGUGCCGUGAGGUGUCGGCUUAAGUGCCAUAACGAGCGCAACCCUUGUUGUCAGUUACUAACAGGUUCCGCUGAGGACUCUGACAAGACUGCCAUCGUAAGAUGUGAGGAAGGUGGGGAUGACGUCAAAUCAGCACGGCCCUUACGUCCGGGGCUACACACGUGUUACAAUGGGGGGUACAGAGGGCCGCUACCACGCGAGUGGAUGCCAAUCCCAAAAACCUCUCUCAGUUCGGACUGGAGUCUGCAACCCGACUCCACGAAGCUGGAUUCGCUAGUAAUCGCGCAUCAGCCACGGCGCGGUGAAUACGUUCCCGGGCCUUGUACACACCGCCCGUCAAGCCAUGGGAGCCGGGGGUACCUGAAGUGCGUAACCGCGAGGAGCGCCCUAGGGUAAAACUGGUGACUGGGGCU